rnacentral:rRNA from 1 species
AUUAAACGCUGGCGGCAUGCCUUACACAUGCAAGUCGAACGGUAGCGCGGGGCAACCUGGCGACGAGUGGCGAACGGGUGAGUAAAGCAUCGGAACGUGCCCUGGAAUGGGGGAUAACGUAGCGAAAGUUACGCUAAUACCGCAUACGAUCUACGGAUGAAAGCGGGGGAUCGCAAGACCUCGCGCGAGUGGAGCGGCCGAUGUCAGAUUAGGUAGUUGGUGGGGUAAAGGCUCACCAAGCCAACGAUCUGUAGCUGGUCUGAGAGGACGACCAGCCACACUGGAACUGAGACACGGUCCAGACUCCUACGGGAGGCAGCAGUGAGGAAUAUUGCACAAUGGGCGGAAGCCUGAUGCAGCAACGCCGCGUGGAGGACGACGGCCUUCGGGUUGGUAAAACUCCUUUUUCCGGGGGGUACCGGAGGCGAGGACGGUACCCUGGGAAUAAGUCUCGGCUAACUACGUGCCAGCAGCCGCGGUAAU